GAUGAAGAACGUAGCGAAAUGCGAUAAGUAAUGUGAAUUGCAGAAUUCAGUGAAUCAUCGAAUCUUUGAACGCACAUUGCGCCCGCCAGUAUUCUGGCGGGCAUGCCUGUUCGAGCGUCAUUUCAACCAUCAAGCCCCAGGCUUGUGUUGGAGCCCUGCGGCUGCCGCAGCCUCCCAAAACCAGUGGCGGGCUCGCUAUCACACCGAGUGCAGUAGUUUACUCUUCGCUCAGGGCGUGUGGCGGGUGCUAGCCGUAAAACCCCCAACUUCUCAAGGUUGACCUCGGAUCAGGUAUGAAUACCCGCUGAACUUAAGCAUAUCAAUAAGCGGAGGA
rnacentral:misc_RNA from 1 species